AACGAACGCUGGCGGCAGGCUUAACACAUGCAAGUCGAACGCCCCGCAAGGGGAGUGGCAGACGGGUGAGUAACACGUGGGAACGUACCCUUUACUACGGAAUAACGCAGGGAAACUUGUGCUAAUACCGUAUGUGCCCUUCGGGGAAAGAUUUAUCGGUAAAGGAUCGGCCCGCGUUGGAUUAGCUAGUUGGUGGGGUAAAGGCCUACCAAGGCGACGAUCCAUAGCUGGUCUGAGAGGAUGAUCAGCCACACUGGGACUGAGACACGGCCCAGACUCCUACGGGAGGCAGCAGUGAGGAAUAUUGGACAAUGGGCGCAAGCCUGAUCCAGCCAUGCCGCGUGAGUGAAGAAGGCCUUCGGUUGGUUAAAGACGUCUUUCUAGAU
rnacentral:rRNA from 1 species